AUUGAACGCUGGCGGCAGGCCUAACACAUGCAAGUCGAACGAGUGGCGGAGGGGAGUGAAAUGUGGGGGAAACUGCGUGAUGGAGGGGGAAAACUAGUAGAACAGGUAGCCAAUCCCGCAAACCACGGGAUGUGACCAGAUGGGAUUAGCUAGUAGCUGGGGUAAAGGCUCACCUAGGCGACGAGCCCUAGCUGGUCUGAGAGGAUGACCAGCCACACUGGGACUGAGACACGGUCCAGACUCCUACGGGAGGCAGCAGUGGGGAAUAUUGCACAAUGGGCGCAAGCCUGAUGCAGCCAUGCCGCGUGUAUGAAGAAGGCCUUCGGGUUGUAAAGUACUUUCAGCCGGGAGGCGUUACCCACAGAAGAAGCACCGGCUAACUCCGUGCCAGCAGCCGCGGUAAUAC
rnacentral:rRNA from 1 species